GACGUAGGGCGCGAGCGUUGUCCGGAUUUAUUGGGCGUAAAGAGCUCGUAGGCGGCUUGUCGCGUCGUCCGUGAAAACCCGGGGCUCAACCCCGGGCUGCGGUCGAUACGGGCAGGCUGGAGUUCGGUAGGGGAGACGUGGAAUUCCUGGUGUAGCGGUGAAAUGCGCAGAUAUCAGGAAGAACACCCGUGGCGAAGGCGGUUCUCUGGGACGGUACUGACGCUGAGACGCGAAAGCGUGGGGAGCGAACAGG
rnacentral:rRNA from 1 species